rnacentral:rRNA from 1 species
UGACCUCAAAUCAGGUAGGACUACCCGCUGAACUUAAGCAUAUCAAUAAGCGGAGGAAAAGAAACUAACAAGGAUUCCCCUAGUAACUGCGAGUGAAGCGGGAAAAGCUCAAAUUUAAAAUCUGUCAGUCUUUGGCUGUCCGAGUUGUAAUCUAGAGAAGUGUUAUCCGCGCUGGACCGUGUACAAGUCUCCUGGAAUGGAGCGUCAUAGAGGGUGAGAAUCCCGUCUUUGACACGGACUGCCAGGGCUUUUGUGAUGCGCUCUCAAAGAGUCGAGUUGUUUGGGAAUGCAGCUCAAAAUGGGUGGUAAAUUCCAUCUAAAGCUAAAUAUUGGCGAGAGACCGAUAGCGAACAAGUACCGUGAGGGAAAGAUGAAAAGAACUUUGGAAAGAGAGUUAAACAGUACGUGAAAUUGCUGAAAGGGAAACGCUUGAAGUCAGUCGCGUCAUCCAGGGAUCAACCUUGCUUUUGCUUGGUGUACUUUCUGGUUGACGGGUCAGCAUCAAUUUUGACCAUUGGAAAAAGAUUAAGGGAAUGUGGCAUACAUAGUGAUGUGUUAUAGCCCUUGGUUGCAUACAAUGGUUGGGAUUGAGGAACUCAGCACGCCGCAAGGCCGGGUUUUUAUUAACCACGUACGUGCUUAGGA